CACUUUUCAUAUUCAGAAGUUCUGACAGUGCUGCGACGAGUCUGUUUAUUAUGCGCAUACCAUCAUCAACAUUUGCAGCAGAUUUUUGUACUCUCAGACGCAAAUCAAGAAGCUGCCCUCUUAAAUCUUUUCUUGCAAGAUCGCAUGGAAAAUUGUGGGAACUACAUUGAAUUCACCCUGCUUCAAUCCACUACACCAGUUCUAUCUGAUGAUACAAAUGCUCUGAAACGUACACAUAGUGUAGCAAAGCUGAUUAAAUUCACCCUGCUGCAUUCCAGAGAUUACAAAGAUUUUUAGUUGACUUGCUUUGGGCCACUCGGACAAAGUGGGAGUGGUCUCCAUGGUGGGCAAGAUGAGGAAGGGAGGCUGAGAUGGUUUGGACAUGUGAAGAGGAGAUGUGCAGAUGCCCAGUGAGGAGGUGUGAGAGGUUGAAUGUAGUGGGGAAGAGGAGAGGCAGAAGUAGGUUGAAGAAGUAUUAAGGGGAGGUUAUCAGACAUGAUAUAGUGCAUCUUCAUCUUACCAAAAGAGGACAUGACCUUAGAAUGGGAGGGUGUGGAGGUCGCGUGGUAAGGGUAAAAGGUUAGUAGGUAGUCAAGAAUUGCCUUAGUAUCAUCCUAUUCAUGUAGUCUUUGGCUUGGGGGCAGUCUAGAGCACUGUGUUUGUCGUAGUAUUAGACUUUUCAUUUAAACUUUGGCUUUUGGUAUGUGUUAGCAUACAUUGCUUACUACUUUAAGUGAUUGCACCUU